CUGAGGGUACCGUCAGGCCUAACGUGUAUUAUACGUUAGGAGGUUCUUCCCCUCUGACAGAGCUUUACGACCCAAGAGCCUUCAUCACUCACGCGGUAUUGCUGCGUCAGGCUUUCGCCCAUUGCGCAAAAUU
rnacentral:rRNA from 1 species